rnacentral:rRNA from 1 species
GAUGAACGCUGGCGGCGUGCCUAAUACAUGCAAGUCGAGCGAACGGACGAGAAGCUUGCUUCUCUGAUGUUAGCGGCGGACGGGUGAGUAACACGUGGAUAACCUACCUAUAGGACUGGGAUAACUUCGGGAAACCGGAGCUAAUACCGGAUAAUAUUUUGAACCGCAUGGUUCAAAAGUGAAAGACGGUCUUGCUGUCACUUAUAGAUGGAUCCGCGCUGCAUUAGCUAGUUGGUAAGGUAACGGCUUACCAAGGCAACGAUGCAUAGCCGACCUGAGAGGGUGAUCGGCCACACUGGAACUGAGACACGGUCCAGACUCCUACGGGAGGCAGCAGUAGGGAAUCUUCCGCAAUGGGCGAAAGCCUGACGGAGCAACGCCGCGUGAGUGAUGAAGGUCUUCGGAUCGUAAAACUCUGUUAUUAGGGAAGAACAUAUGCGUAAGUAACUGUGCACAUCUUGACGGUACCUAAUCAGAAAGCCACGGCUAACUACGUG